ACGGCUCAGUAUAUGAGGCCACCUGGCCUAAGGUGGAGGAUAACCCCGGGAAAUCGGGGAUAAUACUCCAUAGAUUAGAGAUACUGGAAUGUUCUUUAAUCGAAAGUUCCGGCGCCUUAGGGUGGAUCUGCGGCCGAUUAGGUAGUUGUUGGGGUAACGGCCCAACAAGCCCGUAAUCGGUACGGGUUGUGGGAGCAAGAGCCCGGAGAUGGAAUCUGAGACACGAUUCCAGGCCCUACGGGGCGCAGCAGGCGCGAAAACUUUACAAUGCAGGAAACUGUGAUAAGGGAACCCCGAGUGCCCGUAUACGCGGGCUGUCCAGGUGUUUAAAAUGCAUCUGAAGAAAGGGCCGGGCAAGACCGGUGCCAGCCGCCGCGGUAAUACCGGCGGCUCGAGUGGUGGCCACUUUUAUUGGGCUUAAAGCGUUCGUAGCUGGAUUUUUAAGUCUCUUGGGAAAUCUGCAGGCUUAACCUGCAGGCGUUUAAGAGAUACUGGGAAUCUAGGAACCGGGAGAGGUAAGAGGUACUCCAGGGGUAGAAGUGAAAUUCUGUAAUCCUUGGGGGACCACCGAUGGCGAAGGCAUCUUACCAGAACGGCUUCGACAGUGAGGAACGAAAGCUGGGGGAGCGAACCGGAUUAGAUACCCGGGUAGUCCCAGCCGUAAACGAUGCGCGUUAGGUGUACCGGUGACCACGAGUCACUGGGGUGCCGAAAGGGAAACCGUGAAACGUGCCGCCUGGGAAGUACGGUCGCAAGGCUGAAACUUAAAGGAAUUGGCGGGGGAGCAC
rnacentral:rRNA from 1 species